rnacentral:misc_RNA from 1 species
AAUUCUUCUUUUGGAUAAAAAAACUAAUUUCUAAAAGAGAUUAUUUAAAAUAAUCGUAUUCUUUUGUUUUUUCUUUGUGAUUGUUUAUUCUUGGGAAAAAAUUGAAAUGAAUUUAUAUAAAAUAAAAAGAAAAUUUUUAUGAAGAAAAUAAAAAAAUUCUCUUCCUUUAAUUUUUUUUUAAUAAUAUCUUCUUUCAUAUAUUUUAACAAAUAAAAUUGUUAAAUUUAUUUAAUUAUCGACGCGCUCUAAGUUUAUACACAGUUCGUUGUGAUUUUAGUAGAUGGCAAGUAGUGGCGCCAUUUUUAAAUUAUUUCGAAAUCGAUUGACGACAUAUUUGGUUACGGUAAACAGGAUUGAAUCAUUGGAAAAACUAGAACGUAAAUUAAUCCUUUUUUUAUAACGAUCAAUUUCAGUAUAACUUUCUUUUUUAUCAAUAGAAAUUAAUGUGAAGCGUAUUACAAAUAGUAAAAAAGAAUAUUUAAAUGUAAAGAAAGAUGAUUAGAUAUAGAUACUUGGAAAUGGAACAUUGAUCGGUACGAUGCGCAGGCCUGCGAUCAUACAUUCGGUGCAAUAUUCGUAGAAGACAGGUGCUAGAGUCACAAGAAUGUUUCUAACAAGAAUAAUGGUGGCAAAAUAAUUAAAUAAUAUAUAUUUUUCUUUAAUUAUAAAAAAAAAACUUCUUCUCAAUAUCACGCGAAAGGUAUUAUUUUUUUUGUUUUCGAUAAAAACUAAAAACGAGAACAAAUCGAAUAGAGGAAUGUGUGAAAGAAUUAUUUGUUUCCAUUUGCAGUGUGUAUAAUUGUGUCUACGAUUAGUAUCUAAUUUAUGGAUAAAAAUCUAGAAAAUAAUAGUGUGCAUUGUGUGCAUCGCGUCGUCGUCUUCUUCAUUCUCUUCCUCGUUGUACUUGGAAUCCAUUGAAUUAUAAACGUCGAUGAAACGAUCAGGAGUAACUUCGAGGAGGAAUCUGCGUCAUUUGCAGGAUACGAAGAUGUCAGGAAAAAAUCUCGAGAUGAGGGAAACAGCUGCACGUAUCUGUCGAGAUUAUCUUCAUGGUGUUUGGAAGCGUGUUACUGCUGAGAACAUUACCCUAAAACGUAUCAGCGGUGGCCUGAGUAAUUGGCUUUACAAUGUUCAAUUGCCAGACGGUGCUGUACCAAUACGCGGAGAACCGCGGCAAGUUUUAUUACGAUUGUACGGUCAAGUACACGGGGAAAGGGCGUUGGAGGGACUUAUCACCGAAUCCGUCAUAUUCACGCUACUUUCAGAGAGGCGACUUGGUCCCAAAUUGCACGGCAUAUUUCCCGGUGGACGUAUCGAAGAAUACAUACCGGCUAGACCAUUGUUAACCAAAGAAUUGUCCGAUCCAACAUUGAGCACGAUGAUAGGUGAAAAAAUGGGACAGAUACACACGAUGCAAGUACCGAUUAGUAAAGAACCUACUUGGUUAUGGGAUACCAUGGCCAAGUGGCUUGCCACAGCAACAGAUAUUUUAGAAACUGUUGAUGAGGUAGAUCCCCGUCAACACGAAAACGUUUACACUCUAAGAUCGAUAGAUCUCGAAAAGGAAAUCAAUUGGUUCAGGGACCUUGUCGCUCGAGAAAAAUAUCCAGUAGUAUUUUGUCACAACGAUAUGCAAGAGGGUAAUAUCCUUCUACGACAAAACUCACGGAAAACUGAGUUAGUUGUUAUCGACUUUGAAUAUUGUUCAUACAACUACAGAGGCUUCGAUAUCGCUAAUCAUUUCAUCGAAUGGCAGUACGAUUACACGGAAGGGAAUUAUCCAUUCUUCCAAGAACGAACUGAUUCUGGGCCUUCUAAAGAGCAGAAGUUUCACAGGACUGCAAUUGAGGGAUUGAGAGACAGGAUCGAUGCACGCUAUCAGGAUAAAUUGGGCGGCAUAUGAAUCUUGCCACUGCGACGUAUCCUGACUCGUACUCUCCAAGUUAUGGAACCAGAACCACCUGUGUGCCAUCUACCCCAUGGCGAAACAGCACACCCUCCCACAUCUGCUCGUCUACGAACCUAGACUCAAUUUUAUCAAGAGUUACUUGAGAACAGUCCAGAAGGAAUCACAGACGGAAGAAGAACGUAUUAUGAUGGAAAUUAAAAUAUUUUCUUUAGCCAGUCAUUUGUUUUGGGGACUCUGGAGUAUUGUCAAUGCUAAAUUAUCUGAAAUACCGUUUGGAUAUUG